ACGAACGCUGGCGGCACGCUUAACACAUGCAAGUCGAACGAGAGAAGAGGAGCUUGCUUUUCUGAUCUAGUGGCGGACGGGUGAGUAACACGUGAGCAAUCUGCCUUUCAGAGGGGGAUACCGAUUGGAAACGAUCGUUAAUACCGCAUAACAUAAUUGAACCGCAUGAUUUGAUUAUCAAAGAUUUAUCGCUGAAAGAUGAGCUCGCGUCUGAUUAGCUAGUUGGUAAGGUAACGGCUUACCAAGGCGACGAUCAGUAGCCGGACUGAGAGGUUGAUCGGCCACAUUGGGACUGAGACACGGCCCAGACUCCUACGGGAGGCAGCAGUGGGGAAUAUUGCACAAUGGAGGAAACUCUGAUGCAGCGAUGCCGCGUGAGGGAAGAAGGUUUUAGGAUUGUAAACCUCUGUCUUCAGGGACGAAAAAUGACGGUACCUGAGGAGGAAGCUCCGGCUAACUACGUGCCAGCAGCCGCGGUAAUACGUAGGUAGCGAGCGUUGUCCGGAAUUACUGGGUGUAAAGGGAGCGUAGGCGGGAUCGCAAGUCAGAUGUGAAAACUAUGGGCUUAACCCAUAAACUGCAUUUGAAACUGUGGUUCUUGAGUGAAGUAGAGGUAAGCGGAAUUCCUAGUGUAGCGGUGAAAUGCGUAGAUAUUAGGAGGAACAUCAGUGGCGAAGGCGGCUUACUGGGCUUUAACUGACGCUGAGGCUCGAAAGCGUGGGGAGCAAACAGGAUUAGAUACCCUGGUAGUCCACGCCGUAAACGAUGAUUACUAGGUGUGGGGGGACUGACCCCUUCCGUGCCGCAGCAAACGCAAUAAGUAAUCCACCUGGGGAGUACGACCGCAAGGUUGAAACUCAAAGGAAUUGACGGGGGCCCGCACAAGCAGUGGAGUAUGUGGAUUAAUUCGAAGCAACGCGAAGAACCUUACCAGGUCUUGACAUCGUAUGCAUAGCUCAGAGAUGAGUGAAAUCUCUUCGGAGACAUAUAGACAGGUGGUGCAUGGUUGUCGUCAGCUCGUGUCGUGAGAUGUUGGGUUAAGUCCCGCAACGAGCGCAACCCUUACUGUUAGUUGCUACGCAAGAGCACUCUAGCAGGACUGCCGUUGACAAAACGGAGGAAGGUGGGGAUGACGUCAAAUCAUCAUGCCCCUUAUGACCUGGGCCUCACACGUACUACAAUGGCUGUCAACAGAGGGAAGCAAAGCCGCGAGGUGGAGCAAACCCCUAAAAGCAGUCUUAGUUCGGAUUGUAGGCUGCAACCCGCCUACAUGAAGUCGGAAUUGCUAGUAAUCGCAGAUCAGCAUGCUGCGGUGAAUACGUUCCCGGGCCUUGUACACACCGCCCGUCACGCCAUGGGAGUCGGUAACACCCGAAGCCUGUAGUCUAACCGCAAGGAGGACGCAGUCGAAGGUGGGAUUGAUGACUGGGGUG
rnacentral:rRNA from 1 species